CCCCACUCCCCUUAUCCUCGUUCACGAUCGGCUCUAUUUGCCCUCGCAAUCUCGAAGCCUUUGUGCACGAGCUCUGGGAGUAUCCUAGUCCCCGCAAGGAGAAUGUGCUGGCGGGUAUUCGCGAUGGUUUCCGUGUGGGUUUCGUUCCAGAGCGUGUGGUCCUUCGUCCGUCACUCCGCAAUCUCCCGUCAGUGUCUCAACACCCGGACGUCAUCGACAAAUAUCUCUCGACGGACGUCGCUCAACGCCGGGUGCCUGGUCCUUACCCAUACCCCCCCCUCGCCGCCACUGCUCUCUCUCAAACCAAUCCGUUUGGGGUUUUUUUCCGAAACGUCCUCAACCGGGGAAGUAGCGCCUCAUCCCUGACCUUUUCCUCUCCCCAAGGAGCAAGCGUUAACGAUGGUUUACCUCAGGAUCCCUUCUCUAUGCGAUACAUUUCCGUUGACGACGCUAUCAGAUCCCUCGUUGUUAUUGGCCCCGGCGCCCUACUGGCCUAGUUCGACGUGCAGGCUGCCUACCGUAACAUUCCGAUCAACGUCUCCGACCGACAUCUGUUAGGCAUGUACUGGCGAGACUCUUUCUAUGUGGCCUUGGUGCUACCUCUUGGCCUCAGGUCUCCUCAAUUCCUUUUGAUGCGGUUGCGUCCGUGGUUCAUUGGAUUCCUUCAACAACUACCACGUUCACCAGUUGUUCCACUACCUCGAUGAUUUUUUUUUCCUCUUUGGGUCCCCCGUCGUCUCUCGUGUGCCAAGCCCACAUCGGCUCUUCGUUACUGUCUUCAACCACUUGGGUCUCCCUCUUAACCAUGAGAAUUCGAGGGCCCCGCAACCUGCUUGGUGUUCUUAGGUAUUGUGCUCGACUCGGUCACUCAAAUUGCUAGGUCGCCAGCCGAAAAGUUCAACCGUUCCAUGUCACUCCUCCAGUCUUGGUCCAACAAGCGUACUUGUCACCGUCAGGAAUUAGAGUCCUUGACUGGCCACCUCCACCACGCGUGCACAGUUGUCCGUCCUGGGCGAACUUUUUUUUUUUUUUUGCGCCGUAUGAUUGAUCUUCUGGCUCAUUUUCGCAAUCGC